rnacentral:rRNA from 1 species
UACGGAGGAGGCAAGCGUUGUCCGGAAUCAUUGGGCGUAAAGCGCGUGUAGGCGGCUCGGUAAGUCCGGUGUGAAACCUUGGGGCUCAACCCCAAGCCUGCACUGGAUACUGUCGAGCUCGAGUCCGGGAGGGGAGAGCGGAAUUCCUAGUGUAGCGGUGAAAUGCGCAGAUAUUAGGAAGAACACCGGUGGCGAAGGCGGCUCUCUGGAACGGUACUGACGCUGAGACGCGAAAGCGUGGGGAGCGAACAGG